ensembl:lncRNA
AUGACAACGCUGAAACAGAUCUUGGCACAGAUACGGCCCGGGGACUGGUUCGUCUCAGUGGAUCUAAAAGACACAUACUUCCAAAUUCAAAUAGCGACGCGCCACAGGCGCUUCCUGAGGUUUGCUUUAGAAGGCACAGCUUAUCAGUAUUCAGUGCUCCCGUUCGGCCUCGCCCUCGCCCCCCGCACAUUUUUAAAGUGUGUGGACGCAGCGCUUUCUCCCCUCAGAUCGAGCGGAAUGCGCAUCUUGAAUUAUCUGGACGAUUGGCUGAUUUUAGCCCACUCAAGGGAUGUGCUAAUCAGUCACGUGGAAACACUGCUUCGCCAUUUGGAUACGCUGGGACUGCGUGUGAAUAUGCAGAAGAGCGUGUUUUUACCGAGCCGGACUAUAACAUAUCUGGGAGUAUGUUUGGACUCGAUGGCGAUGCGAGCUCAUCUCUCUCAAGAGCGCAUAGAGGCAAUUUCAUCGACUCUGUGUCGUUUCAGACCGGGCAGGUCGGUUUCACUGAGGGAAUUUCAGAGGCUUUUGGGACUGAUGGCGGCGGCUUCUUCAAUGUGCCAUCUGGAUCUGCUGCAUAUGCGGCCGCUACAGUUUUGGCUGAAGACCCGAGUUCUGCCGAGGGCGUGGUAUUCAGGCCACAAGCGCAUUACGGUCACUCACAGUUGCGUCAGCACUCUGAGACCGUGGAGCAGCCCGGAUAUGUUCAGCCCAGGAGUUCCUUUGGGUAUAGUGAUGCAGCGCACCGUGCACCUGUUGUGGGCGGACCGACACUUUCUCUCCAUAACAGCACCGCACAUCCCCGGUAUCCUGAACCGUGGAGCAGACAUGCUUUCGAGGAAUGGGAUUCCUCAAGGAGAGUGGAGGCUUCACCCAGGAUCAGUUCAAAUGAUUUGGGAUCGAUUCGGGAGGGCGGAAGCGGAUUUGUUUGCCACAAGUGAGAACACGCACUGUCAGGCGUUCUUCUCGCUAUCUCACUCCCCGCUGCCGGGAGAUGCUCUGACAUCGCGUUGGCCGGAAGCCAGACUUUACGCGUUCCCUCUGGUGAAGAUUCUGCCUAUGGUGUUGUGCAAAAUCAGGAAGGAGAGAGUGUCAGUUAUACUCGUGGCCCCGAACUGGCUGAAUCAGCCCUGGUUCGCGGACCUGAGAGAGUUAGUGGUUGCUCCCCCAUGGCAAAUUCCCCUCAGAAAGGACCUGCUGUCUCAGGUGAAUGGCACGAUAUGGCACCCCAGCCCCGAGCUGUGGAACCUUCAUGGACCCUAA